rnacentral:rRNA from 1 species
GAUGAACGCUAGCGGCAGGCCUGAUACAUGCAAGACGAGCGGUAAGUGUUGUAGCAAUACGAUACCUAGAGCGUCGUAAGGGUGCGUAACACGUAUGCAAUCUGCCCGGAACUGGAGAAUAGCUCGCCGAAAGGCGAAUUAACACUCCAUAGGAUAGUAGACCGGCAUCGGUUAGCUAUUAAAACUACGGUGGUUUCGGAUGAGCAUGCGGAUGAUUAGCUAGUUGGUGAGGUAACGGCUCACCAAGGCGAUGAUCAAUAGGGGAACUGAGAGGUUGAUCCCCCACACUGGCACUGAGAUACGGGCCAGACUCCUACGGGAGGCAGCAGUAGGGAAUAUUGGACAAUGGUUGCAAGACUGAUCCAGCCAUGCCGCGUGCAGGAAGAAGGCUUUCUGAGUUGUAAACUGCUUUUGCCAGGGGAUAAAAAGUCCCUGCGGGGAAAAUUGAAGGUACCUGGUGAAUAAGCCACGGCUAACUACGUGC